rnacentral:rRNA from 1 species
AGUGAACGCUGGCGGCGUGCCUAAUACAUGCAAGUCGAACGGAGUGGCGCACGGGUGAGUAAUAUAUAGCUAAUCUGCCCCUUGCUGGCGGACAACAGUUAGAAAUGACUGCUAAUACUCCAUAGCAUGGGAUGAGACUAUAUCGUAUCAGCUAGUCGGUGGGGUAACGGCCUACCGAGGCUAUGACGCGUAACUGGUCUGAGAGGAUGAUCAGUAACAUUGGAAGUGAGACACGGGCAAAACUACUACGGGAGGCAGCAGUAGUGAAUAUGGCGAAAUGGGGGAGACCCUGACGCAGCAACGCAGCGUGGAGGAUGACAGUUUUCGGAGAGUAAACUCCUUUUGUUAGGGACGCGGUACCUAACGAAUAAGCACCGGCUAACUCCGUGCCAGCAGCCGCGGUAAUAC